AGGUUAAGUGAAUAAGGGCGCACGGUGGAUGCCUUGGCACUAGGAGCCGAUGAAGGACGGGACGAACGCCGAUAUGCUCCGGGGAGCUGUAAGUAAGCAUUGAUCCGGAGAUUUCCGAAUGGGGCAACCCAAUAUCUUUGAUAGGAUAUUACAAACACGUGAAUACAUAGCGUGUUUGAGGUAGACGCAGGGAACUGAAACAUCUCAUUACCUGCAGGAAGAGAAAGAAAAAUCGAUUCCCUGAGUAGCGGCGAGCGAAACGGGAAAAGCCCAAACCAGAGAGCUUGCUCUCUGGGGUUGUAGGACUGGGACGUGAGACUGCAAUGGAUAGCAGAAGCCGGCUGGAAAGCCGCGCAAGACAGGGUAACAGCCCCGUAUGCGAAAUCCAACGCAGCUCUACCAGGAUCCUGAGUACGGCGGAACACGAGAAAUUCCGUCGGAAUCCGGGAGGACCAUCUCCCAAGGCUAAAUACUCCCUAGUGACCGAUAGUGAACCAGUACCGUGAGGGAAAGGUGAAAAGCACCCCGGAAGGGGAGUGAAAUAGUACCUGAAACCGUGUGCUUACAAGUAGUCAGAGCCCGUUAAGGGGUGAUGGCGUACCUUUUGUAGAAUGGACCGGCGAGUUACGAUCCCAUGCGAGGUUAAGCCGAAAAGGCGGAGCCGCAGCGAAAGCGAGUCUGAACAGGGCGAAUGAGUAUGUGGUCGUAGACCCGAAACCAGGUGACCUACCCAUGUCCAGGUUGAAGGUGCGGUAAUACGCACUGGAGGACCGAACCCACGUACGUUGAAAAGUGCGGGGAUGAGGUGUGGGUAGCGGAGAAAUUCCAAUCGAACCUGGAGAUAGCUGGUUCUCUCCGAAAUAGCUUUAGGGCUAGCCUCGGAUCAACGAAUCGUGGAGGUAGAGCACUGUUUGGACUAGGGGCCCUUCUCGGGUUACCGAAUUCAGAUAAACUCCGAAUGCCAUGGAUUCAAGUCCGGGAGUCAGACUGCGAGUGAUAAGAUCCGUAGUCGAAAGGGAAACAACCCAGCCCACCAGCUAAGGUCCCCAAGUAUCUGUUAAGUGGAAAAGGAUGUGGGGUUGCACAGACAACUAGGAUGUUGGCUCAGAAGCAGCCAUCAUUUAAAGAGUGCGUAAUAGCUCACUAGUCGAGUGACCCUGCGCCGAAAAUUUACCGGGGCUAAACAGAUCACCGAAGCUGUGGAUGGAACCCAUUGGGGUUCCGUGGUAGGAGAGCGUUCUAAGGGCAGAGAAGCCGGACCGUGAGGACCGGUGGAGCGCUUAGAAGUGAGAAUGCCGGUAUGAGUAGCGAAAGACGGGUGAGAAUCCCGUCCACCGAAUGACUAAGGUUUCCUGGGGAAGGCUCGUCCUCCCAGGGUUAGUCGGGACCUAAGCCGAGGCCGACAGGCGUAGGCGAUGGACAACAGGUUGAUAUUCCUGUACCAGUUGUUUUUGUUUGAACGAUGGAGGGACGCAGGAGGCUAAGGAAAGCGUGCGAUUGGAAGAGCACGCCCAAGCAGUGAGUCCGGGGGAGAGUCAAAUGCUUUCCCCCGCACGGAUGAGCUGUGACGGGGAGGGAAAUUGAGUACCGAAGUUCCCGAUGCCACACUGCCAAGAAAAGCUUCUAGUAAGAAACCAACUGCCCGUACCGCAAACCGACACAGGUAGUCGAGGAGAGUAUCCUAAGGUGAGCGAGCGAACUCUCGUUAAGGAACUCGGCAAAAUGACCCCGUAACUUCGGGAGAAGGGGUGCUGACCGCAAGGUCAGCCGCAGUGAAUAGGCCCAAGCGACUGUUUAUCAAAAACACAGGUCUCUGCAAAAUCGAAAGAUGACGUAUAGGGGCUGACGCCUGCCCGGUGCUGGAAGGUUAAGAGGAGAGGUUAGCCGCAAGGCGAAGCUUCGAAUUGAAGCCCCAGUAAACGGCGGCCGUAACUAUAACGGUCCUAAGGUAGCGAAAUUCCUUGUCGGGUAAGUUCCGACCCGCACGAAAGGCGUAACGAUUUGGGCACUGUCUCAACGAGAGACUCGGUGAAAUUAUAGUACCAGUGAAGAUGCUGGUUACCCGCGACAGGACGGAAAGACCCCAUGGAGCUUUACUGCAGGUUGAUAUUGAUUGUUUCUGCCACAUGUACAGGAUAGGUAGGAGCCGUAGAAGUCGGGACGCUAGUCUCGAUGGAGGCGCCAUUGGGAUACUACCCUUGUGGCAGGAACACUCUAACCCGCUGCCCUUAUCGGGCAGGGAGACAGUGUCAGUCGGGCAGUUUGACUGGGGCGGUCGCCUCCUAAAAUGUAACGGAGGCGCCCAAAGGUUCCCUCAGAAUGGUUGGAAAUCAUUCGCAGAGUGCAAAGGCAGAAGGGAGCUUGACUGCGAGACAGACAAGUCGAGCAGGGACGAAAGUCGGGCUUAGUGAUCCGGUGGUACCGCAUGGAAGGGCCAUCGCUCAACGGAUAAAAGCUACCCUGGGGAUAACAGGCUUAUCUCCCCCAAGAGUUCACAUCGACGGGGAGGUUUGGCACCUCGAUGUCGGCUCGUCGCAUCCUGGGGCUGUAGUCGGUCCCAAGGGUUGGGCUGUUCGCCCAUUAAAGCGGCACGCGAGCUGGGUUCAGAACGUCGUGAGACAGUUCGGUCCCUAUCCGUCGCGGGCGUUGGAAAUUUGAGAGGAGCUGUCCUUAGUACGAGAGGACCGGGAUGGACACACCGCUGGUGUACCAGUUGUUCUGCCAAGAGCAUCGCUGGGUAGCUAUGUGUGGAAGGGAUAAACGCUGAAAGCAUCUAAGCGUGAAGCCCCCCUCAAGAUGAGAUUUCCCAUCAUUUUAAAUGAGUAAGACCCCUGAGAGACGAUCAGGUAGAUAGGCUGGAAGUGGACGCGCAGCGAUGUGUGGAGCGGACCAGUACUAAUCGGUCGAGGACUUAACCAAGAA
rnacentral:rRNA from 1 species